CAGCCGCCGCGGUAAUACGAAGGGGGCUAGCGUUGCUCGGAAUGACUGGGCGUAAAGGGCGCGUAGGCGGCGAUCAAAGUCUGUUGUGAAAGCCCCGGGCUCAACCUGGGAAUGGCAAUGGAUACUGGCGAGCUAGAGUGUGUCAGAGGAUGGUGGAAUUCCCGGUGUAGCGGUGAAAUGCGUAGAGAUCAGGAGGAACAUCAGUGGCGAAGGCGGCCAUCUGGGACAACACUGACGCUGAGGCACGAAAGCGUGGGGAGCAAACAGGAUUAGAUACCCGCGUAGUCCCUGUCUCUUAUAC
rnacentral:rRNA from 1 species